rnacentral:lncRNA from 10 species
GCCAGAUCCCACUAUUGUGCAUCAUCAGUUGUCAUUGUUGAGACUGAAAUUGCACUGGGAUGUUUCUCUUUGUCACCGGCUCCAAGCUCAUUUCUAGGACAGGAGUGAAACCGUAUGGUGAGCCUCGGGCCCAAGCACAGGGAGAAUUGUUCUUCUGGUGUGUCCCCCAAGGAAGAGCUUGGCAGGUCUUUGGCAGUGGAAGAUGGGCUGGCUUCAGUCAUGAUACCUAUAACAUUGGUAUUGCUAGGGCUUCCAGAUUUAUGGAUAGUAAACUCUAAUCUCUAGCAAAGAAGGUUGAAAUUGUAGCUCUUCCUCAGUUGCUGUGUGAACUUAAGCAAG